rnacentral:rRNA from 1 species
GCAGUCGAGCGAAUGGAUUAAGAGCUUGCUCUUAUGAAGUUAGCGGCGGACGGGUGAGUAACACGUGGGUAACCUGCCCAUAAGACUGGGAUAACUCCGGGAAACCGGGGCUAAUACCGGAUAACAUUUUGAACUGCAUGGUUCGAAAUUGAAAGGCGGCUUCGGCUGUCACUUAUGGAUGGACCCGCGUCGCAUUAGCUAGUUGGUGAGGUAACGGCUCACCAAGGCAACGAUGCGUAGCCGACCUGAGAGGGUGAUCGGCCACACUGGGACUGAGACACGGCCCAGACUCCUACGGGAGGCAGCAGUAGGGAAUCUUCCGCAAUGGACGAAAGUCUGACGGAGCAACGCCGCGUGAGUGAUGAAGGCUUUCGGGUCGUAAAACUCUGUUGUUAGGGAAGAACAAGUGCUAGUUGAAUAAGCUGGCACCUUGACGGUACCUAACCAGAAAGCCACGGCUAACUACGUGCCAGCAGCCGCGGUAAUACGUAGGUGGCAAGCGUUAUCCGGAAUUAUUGGGCGUAAAGCGCGCGCAGGUGGUUUCUUAAGUCUGAUGUGAAAGCCCACGGCUCAACCGUGGAGGGUCAUUGGAAACUGGGAGACUUGAGUGCAGAAGAGGAAAGUGGAAUUCCAUGUGUAGCGGUGAAAUGCGUAGAGAUAUGGAGGAACACCAGUGGCGAAGGCGACUUUCUGGUCUGUAACUGACACUGAGGCGCGAAAGCGUGGGGAGCAAACAGGAUUAGA